GAUUUGGACAGCUACGAGACAACGUCAGGGCACCAUCAAGACAGCGCAACUUCUCGUUUUAAAUCCUUAUGUUAUGAAAAGGUUUUUUCAUACAUAACUUCCGCGGUGCAUCUGUACACGAAUCCUCAACGCUUCAGGAUUCUAAAAAUACUUUUUCAUAGCGCACUGGACUAUCGGUUCCUCCGCAAUGAACGCAGGAAAUGGGUGAUCGACGCAAUGGCGGUAACUUUACGAUCCUUUCAAGAAGAAUCGCUUGAACCAGAGCUAAUUAAUGCCAUUAGCCAGCUUUCGUGUGCUGAUACAUUGCACCUUGUGACCUUGCUGAGUGAGCACCCGAAUGCUGUGCUGGCAAUAUGUCGUCAUCGCCUCCUGAUGCUGUCCGGCCGUACUGAUGAAACUGGAGAGGACAUUAUGCAAGUGCUGAAAGCUUUUCGCAAAGAUUUGCGGAAUGCACCUACGGCCAUUGCGUAUCUCGAAAUGAUGGUGAGGGCAAAGAAAGCUAUU